GGGCCCGUAGCUCAACGGUCAGAGCAGACCGCUCAUAACGGUUUGGUUGGGGGUUCGAAUCCCUCCGGGCCUACCA
rnacentral:tRNA from 2 species